UACGGAGGGUGCAAGCGUUAUCCGGAUUCACUGGGUUUAAAGGGUGCGUAGGUGGGCAGGUAAGUCAGUGGUGAAAUCUCCCGGGCUUAACCGGAACUGCCGUUGAUACUAUCUGUCUUGAAUAUAGUGGAGGUGAGCGGAAUAUGUCAUGUAGCGGUGAAAUGCUUAGAUAUGACAUAGAACACCCAUUGCGAAGCAGCUCGCUACACUAUCAUUGACACU
rnacentral:rRNA from 1 species